CCUACGGGAGGCAGCAGUGAGGAAUAUUGGUCAAUGGACGAGAGUCUGAACCAGCCAAGUAGCGUGAAGGAUGACUGCCCUAUGGGUUGUAAACUUCUUUUAUAUGGGAAUAAAAUGUUCCACGUGUGGGAUUUUGUAUGUACCAUAUGAAUAAGGAUCGGCUAACUCCGUGCCAGCAGCCGCGGUAAUACGGAGGAUCCGAGCGUUAUCCGGAUUUAUUGGGUUUAAAGGGAGCGUAGGUGGAUUGUUAAGUCAGUUGUGAAAGUUUGCGGCUCAACCGUAAAAUUGCAGUUGAAACUGGCAGUCUGGAGUAUAGUAGAGGUGGGCGGAAUUCGUGGUGUAGCGGUGAAAUGCUUAGAUAUCACGAAGAACUCCGAUUGCGAAGGCAGCUCACUGGACUGCAACUGACACUGAGGCUCGAAAGUGUGGGUAUCAAACAGGAUUAGAGACCCGUGUAGUC
rnacentral:rRNA from 1 species